UAGUGCUACUAGGGGUGCCAACCACAUUAGGCUGAGAAAUACCCUUAGAACCUGAUCUAGGUAAUGCUAGCGAAGGGAAGUGGCUUCAUACUUUU
rnacentral:ncRNA from 1 species